GAGAAUCAUGCCCAAGCGCAUCACAAACCCUGCAACUCCUCUCCCUCACCUAGCCUUUAAAUGCUUCCCCAAAACCUACUGCGCAGUUUGGGCUUUUUGAGCAUGAGCUGCCCUGGAUUCCUCAUCUGGCACCUUACAAGAAAUUCUGCACUUUCCUGGACUAUAACAGGUUCCUGUGUCUUAAGAAUCAGCCUCAUCAGCUCCAAGACCAUGAAGCAUUCUUCUUUGGCAACUUCCUGUCCUGCAGCCCCGCAUCUCUGUCAUUUGAAAUCUGCCCUUGGAAAGAAUCACAGGAAAAGACCCUGAUGCUGCAAAAGAUUGAAGGCAUGAGAAGGGGAGGUUGGAUGGCAUCCUCAACUCAAUGCACAAGAGUUUGAGCAAAUUCACAGAGACAGUGAAGAACAUGGAAGCUUGGUGUGCUGCAGUCCAGGAGGAAAGAGUCAGACAUGACUGAGUAACUGAACAACAGCAAAAGAACUGGAAAAUAUCUAGACCCUAAUCAACUAUGCAAAGCUACGUUUCCCUAAGUAGUCAAAUGUCCUUUAGGUGGACUUUUUAGAUAAUCUUCUUACCGUGGCAUUAAAAGAUCACAUUAUGUUUUUUGUGCCUGAUAUCCUGUCACAAAAGUUUUUGGGGUUCAGAGUACGUAGUCCCUUGCUAUGACCACAAAUAAGUAAAAGAACCAUAUAUCCAUGCUAAAGUUUAUCUGAUUUCAAAGCCCAGCUUUCUUUUACUAUGUUAUGCAGUUAGACACAUAAACACAGUGUUAGGUAUUCAGUAAAUGUUUCUGAAUUGAUUGAUACAAGAGUAGCAUCCAAAAGCUUAGUUUAUAAAAUACUAGUUGGAUAGUUAAUUCCUAUCACAGGGUGCUUAAAUUACUCAGUGGCAAUUCUUUUACACACAGUAAAAAGGAAUUUGGACGACGGUCCUUAAAUUCUGAGUUGGAUCCUACAUUUCAGAAAGGCAAGCACCACCUUGAUUGCCUCCACUGUAAGCAAGAUUGUCUUAGAUGUUGCAGACG
ensembl:lncRNA